rnacentral:lncRNA from 1 species
UGCGCCGCUAGCCUCUGAACAUGAGUGAUUCCAUGCAAAAGGAAGAAGUGUAGAGUGUACUGUGCUUGGUGAGCUAGUCAGGUAGCUCCUGAAUUUACUGACCUGGCAUGUAACUUUGCAAUGCAACUCUUACCGUGUGUGUCCCCUGACAGAAGAAUUCACUGAAAUUCGUGCCUUGUACGCCAGUGAUGUUGCAUCAUCAUUCAACAUUGUUCUCCCUAAACGGGACCUUGAAGUUGAAUUGGGCAUGAUUCUUUGUUGACACUUUGCUGACAACGACUCCAGUUCUACCAAAAAAAUUGUUGUCAGUAUUCAUAAUCAAAUUUCACAACCUUUUUCAUUCUAGUUGUAGCUAUUAAGAAUCAAUUUAGUGUCGUCCAUCAUCAUGCAAGGGCUUAAACAUUUCAUGACGUUGCUGAUUCUAUCUUUAUUGUUUAGAGCUUUUUGUUGCAUCGUCAAGAGAACAGUAAAUUGUUCUGCUGUAUAAUCAGAGGCACCAAGUAAGCAUAAUGCAUACUUACAUUUUUUAAGUAUAGAUGUAUAAAAAAAUUGUAGAAGAAGAGUUCAUUGCCCUUUAUGAUGUCGGCAAUGCAUGCUGAAAAAAAUUUGCCUGGCCUGAAACAGAAACACUGUUUGCUUCAAUUUGGACCUUCAAGCAUUUUAAGC